rnacentral:rRNA from 1 species
UUCCGGUUGAUCCCGGCGGAGGUUACUGCUAUCGAGGUUCGACUAAGCCAUGCGAGUCGAACGUAGCAAUACAUGGCGUACUGCUCAGUAACACGUGGAUAACCUGCCCUUAGGACGGGGAUAAACCCGGGAAACUGGGUAUAAUACCCGAUAGAUCUCGAUUGCUGGAAUGCAUCGAGAUCGAAAGCUCCGGCGCCUAAGGAUGGAUCUGCGGCCUAUCAGGUAGUAGUGGGUGUAGCGUACCUACUAGCCUACGACGGGUACGGGUUGUGAGAGCAAGAGCCCGGAGAUGGAUUCUGAGACACGAAUCCAGGCCCUACGGGGUGCAGCAGGCGCGAAAACUUUACAAUGCUGGCAACAGCGAUAAGGGGACCUCGAGUGCCAGGUUACAAAUCUGGCUGUCGUAAUGCCUAAAAAGCAUUGCAUAGCAAGGGCCGGGCAAGACCGGUGCCAGCCGCCGCGGUAACACCGGCGGCUCGAGUGGUAACCGUUAUUAUUGGGUCUAAAGGGUCUGUAGCCGGCCGGAUAAGUCUCUUGGGAAAUCUGGCAGCUUAACUGUCAGGCUUUCAGGAGAUACUGUCUGGCUCGAGGCCGGGAGAGGUGAGAGGUACUUCAGGGGUAGGGGUGAAAUCUUGUAAUCCUUGAAGGACCACCAGUGGCGAAGGUGUCUCACCAGAACGGACCUGACGGCAAGGGACGAAAGCUAGGGGCACGAACCGGAUUAGAUACCCGGGUAGUCCUAGCCGUAAACGAUACUCGCUAGGUGUCGGCCACGGUGCGACCGUUGUCGGUGCCGUAGGGAAGCCGUGAAGCGAGCCACCUGGGAAGUACGGCCGCAAGGCUGAAACUUAAAGGAAUGGGCGGGGGAGCAC